GCGGUCUCCGGGUCUGCAGGUUUAUACUACUGGCUGAAUCACGUGACACGGAACGAUUCAGCAGCUGAGCGUGCUGCGUCGGAAUUUAAUGACUACGCACACACUUCAUUCAGCAAACACCGGUGAGAUACAAACUUUGGUAGAGCGUGUGUAAAGCAUGCCUACCUGUGCGCGUUUGUCAUCCAUCUAUAGAAGAGGCAGCCGGUAAGAAAAGACUUUGUCCGAACAUUAGAAGAGCUGCACUCUUUUGUUUCCCGUUUGUUUGGUGUGGCAGUGGGGCGCGCUUUGAAAUCGUCUGUGUGUACUUCAGGGACCAGUCGGACUUUUCAGUUUCAUGCGAGUUGAUGUUUAACCUGUAAGUGUGCACUGUAGCUUUGGUGAAUUUGUGGUGUGGAGUUUCAGGUAAAUGCUAUUAAUCUUUGCUGGUGAUAUUUUGGAGUAAUUCUUGAAGUAAUAGUAACUGGUGUAUGAACUUAAAUAAAAACAAAGGGUUUGAUUAAUGAAAUUGAACAAAAAUGUUUUUAAAUUAAGGUAAGAAUGAACUUGAAUAGAAAUGUAAUUAAAAUAUGAAUUCAUUCAGCAUGCACUUAAAUUCAGUAAUAUAAAUAAAUUUAUUGUUAAAUAGGCUCCGUGCACGUAACUAAGGAGUUCUACUUCAGCCGCCUUGAGUGUGAGGCCGACCACUUCCGGUUUGCGACUUCUAUAGCAGCGACACGGCAGAUUUUGAUUGCGGAAGAUGGCAUAUUUCACCCGUUGUCUAAGGUCUCCCGAAAAUUGACGUGAACGACAUAUACAGGAUUGUCGACCAGUGUUCACCUGCCCCCGGUUGCAAGCGUGAAAAAGGAUUUCGAUUGUACAUUUCAAGUUACAUCCACAACUUUGAAGGUGGGUCUGAAGGACUCCAUCCCUGUUGAGCUGGCCCAACACAGCUGUACAUGUGUAGCUGGAUCAGUGCUCUGUAACCAUUGUGUGGCUCUACUUUUCCAGUCUGCACAUUAUUCUAACAGCAGUGGCACAAGCCAAGAACCUCGGGUGUUAAACCAGGUCCCGUCGAGAAGAUGGCUGUGAUGUCUGCCAAACCAUGUGAUGUGAUCCAAAAAAUAAGAGAGAGAGCAGACCUCUUCUUUUUCUACACAU